rnacentral:rRNA from 1 species
ACUGCUAAUACCGCAUACGAUCUAAUCUCGGCAUCGAGGAUAGAUGAAAGGUGGCCUCUACAUGUAAGCUAUCACUGAAGGAGGGGAUUGCGUCUGAUUAGCUAGUUGGAGGGGUAACGGCCCACCAAGGCGAUGAUCAGUAGCCGGUCUGAGAGGAUGAACGGCCACAUUGGGACUGAGACACGGCCCAGACUCCUACGGGAGGCAGCAUG